rnacentral:rRNA from 1 species
GAUGAACGCGGACAGAAUGCUUAACACAUGCAAGUCAACUUGAACUUCGGUUUGGGUGGCGGACGGGUGAGUAACGCGUAAAGAACUUGCCUCACAGCUAGGGACAACAUUAGGAAACGAAUGCUAAUACCUGAUAUUAUGAUUAUAUGGCAUCGUAUAAUUAUGAAAGCUAUAUGCGCUGUGAGAGAGCUUUGCGUCCCAUUAGCUAGUUGGAGAGGUAACAGCUCACCAAGGCGAUGAUGGGUAGCCGGCCUGAGAGGGUGAUCGGCCACAAGGGGACUGAGACACGGCCCUUACUCCUACGGGAGGCAGCAGUGGGGAAUAUUGGACAAUGGACCGAGAGUCUGAUCCAGCAAUUCUGUGUGCACGAUGAAGUUUUUCGGAAUGUAAAGUGCUUUCAGUUGGGAAGAAAAAAAUGACGGUACCAACAGAAGAAGUGACGGCUAAAUACGUG